UUACGUCCAUUUCACGUUGAAACACCGAUUCCCAUUCGAUUACCGAAGUUAAGCAACGCCGAGACUGUUCGAUUCCUAUGGGUGACUGCUUGGGAAUAACAGGUGUUGCAAG